ACCUUCUUGUUCAAGCACUGUGCUAAAAUUACAGAAACCAGGGCUGAGCCUUAGUUUUUGUAGUAAUGCUAGCAGAGUACACAUAAGAAGAAGAAUAAAUGCACUAGAUCCAAAAUGACUUGGGUGGACCUCUUUCUUAAUGUCCAGUGUCCUAGGUCUUAAGAUUUGGUGCAAUAUCU
ensembl:snoRNA small nucleolar RNA SNORA81